UUCUACUCUGUCUCUGCGAAUCAGAUGUCAAAGGUGGUGCCCACAGCAUCUGCCACUUCAUGGCUGGCUUAUUUCAUUUCUACCUUUCUCAAAGUUUGUCUGUACAUGUGCCAAGUAUCAGAAUUUUUUUCCUCUGUCAGGGUGAAGAGUAUCCCUCAUCGCUCACUGGACAUUUGGGUGAAAACCAAACUCCUUAGAUUCCGGCUCAUACGUGGGUGCCAUGUUUUCUCAAGAACACUGGAUGGCACCAGUCAGUUGGUCACAAGAAGAGAAUAAAGGAGACAUCUAGAAACAGCAGCAGACAGCAGGAGAGCUGCACUAAUGGCUACAGUGAGUACUCGAGUGGCUCACACAGAAAAUGAUCACCUUGUUCAGAGACACUUAAGCCUCACCAGCCUCCAGGGUCUACCCUUGUGUGAGGCCAAUGAACUCUGAAGACUGAAAAUGUUUUGUAAAUGACCCCAACAAAGGAUGGACAAUCAUAAAUAAAGAGAGCUCAUGAUGGAAAAUUACCUAC